CACGUAGGGGCGAGCGUUGUCCGGAAUUACUGGGCGUAAAGGGCGCGCAGGCUGUUAUGCGAGUCUGCUGUGAAAUGUACCGGCUCAACCGGUGCCUUGCGGCGGAUACUGCAUAGCUGGAGUACUGGAGAGGGAAGUGGAAUUCCCGGUGUAGCGGUGAAAUGCGUAGAUAUCGGGAGGAAUACCAGUGGCGAAGGCGGCACCCUGGCAUUGACCUGACGCUGAGGUGCGAAAGCGUGGGGAGCGAACGGGAUUAGAUA
rnacentral:rRNA from 1 species